GAAGAAAAACAUGUUUGUAACAAGUGCUAAUAAGAAAAUUCUGAUUUAAUAUACUGUUUUAAGAAGCCUGAAGAAGGGCCUAAACAAUGCCCGAAAUAUAACGAAAACAAAACGAAGUUUUAUUCAAUUAGAAACGCCGCUAGAAUCCAAC